rnacentral:rRNA from 1 species
GCGAAGAAACUUACAACAAAGAGUCCCUCCCGACUGUUUACCAAAAACACAGCACUCUGCUAACUCGUAAGAGGAUGUAUAGGGUGUGACGCCUGCCCGGUGCUCGAAGGUUAAUUGAUGGGGUUAGCAUUAGCGAAGCUCUUGAUCGAAGCCCGAGUAAACGGCGGCCGUAACUAUAACGGUCCUAAGGUAGCGAAAUUCCUUGUCGGUUAAAUACCGACCUGCAUGAAUGGCGUAACGAGAUGGGAGCUGUCUCAAAGAGGGAUCCAGUGAAAUUGUAGUGGAGGUGAAAAUUCCUCCUACCCGCGGCAAGACGGAAAGACCCCGUGGACCUUUACUACAGCUUGACACUGCUACUUGGAUAAGAAUGUGCAGGAUAGGUGGGAGGCUUUGAGUAUAUGACGCCAGUUGUAUAGGAGCCAUUGUUGAGAUACCACUCUUUCUUAUUUGGGUAGCUAACCAGCUUGAGUUAUCCUCAAGUGGGACAAUGUCUGGUGGGUAGUUUGACUGGGGCGGUCGCCUCCCAAAUAAUAACGGAGGCUUACAAAGGUUGGCUCAGAACGGUUGGAAAUCGUUCGUAGAGUAUAAAGGUAUAAGCCAGCUUAACUGCAAGACAUACAAGUCAAGCAGAGACGAAAGUCGGUCUUAGUGAUCCGGUGGUUCUGUGUGGAAGGGCCAUCGCUCAAAGGAUAAAAGGUACCCCGGGGAUAACAGGCUGAUCUCCCCCAAGAGCUCACAUCGACGGGGAGGUUUGGCACCUCGAUGUCGGCUCAUCGCAUCCUGGGGCUGGAGCAGGUCCCAAGGGUAUGGCUGUUCGCCAUUUAAAGCGGUACGCGAGCUGGGUUCAGAACGUCGUGAGACAGUUCGGUCCCUAUCUGCCGUGGGCGUAAGAAGAUUGAAGAGAUUUGACCCUAGUACGAGAGGACCGGGUUGAACAAACCACUGGUGUAGCUGUUGUUCUGCCAAGAGCAUCGCAGCGUAGCUAAGUUUGGAAAGGAUAAACGCUGAAAGCAUCUAAGCGUGAAGCCAACUCUAAGAUGAAUCUUCUCUAAGCUCUCUAGAAGACUACUAGUUUGAUAGGCUGGGUGUGUAAUGGAUGAAAGUCCUUUAGCUGACCAGUACUAAUAGAGCGUUUGGCUUAUCUUUAAUAAAGCAU